UACGAAGGGGGCUAGCGUUGUUCGGAAUCACUGGGCGUAAAGCGCACGUAGGCGGACUUUUAAGUCAGGGGUGAAAGCCUGAGGCUCAACCUCAGAACUGCCCUUGAUACUGGGAGUCUUGAGUAUGGUAGAGGUUGGUGGAACAGCAAGUGUAGAGGUGAAAUUCGUAGAUAUUUGCUAGAACACCAGUGGCGAAGGCGGCCAACUGGACCAUAACUGACGCUGAGGCGCGAAAGCGUGGGGAGCAAACAGG
rnacentral:rRNA from 1 species